GGGAAUUUUGGACAAUGGGCGCAAGCCUGAUCCAGCAAUGCCGCGUGCAGGAUGAAGGCCUUCGGGUUGUAAACUGCUUUUGUACGGAACGAAACGGCUCUCUCUAAUACGGGGGGCUAAUGACGGUACCGUAAGCAUAAGCACCGGCUAACUACGUGCCAGCAGCCGCGGUAAUACGUAGGGUGCGAGCGUUAAUCGGAAUUACUGGGCGUAAAGCGUGCGCAGGCGGUUAUGUAAGACAGAUGUGAAAUCCCCGGGCUCAACCUGGGACCUGCAUUUGUGACUGCAUAGCUAGAGUACGGUAGAGGGGGAUGGAAUUCCGCGUGUAGCAGUGAAAUGCGUAGAUAUGCGGAGGAACACCGAUGGCGAAGGCAAUCCCCUGGACCUGUACUGACGCUCAUGCACGAAAGCGUGGGGAGCAAA
rnacentral:rRNA from 1 species